UGGGGAAUAUUGCACAAUGGGCGCAAGCCUGAUGCAGCAACGCCGCGUGAACGAUGAAGGUCUUCGGAUCGUAAAGUUCUGUUGCAGGGGAAGAUAAUGACGGUACCCUGCGAGGAAGCCCCGGCUAACUACGUGCCAGCAGCCGCGGUAAUACGUAGGGGGCUAGCGUUAUCCGGAUUUACUGGGCGUAAAGGGUGCGUAGGUGGUUUUUUAAGUCAGGUGUCAAAGCGUGGAGCUUAACUCCAUUAAGCACUUGAAACUGAAAGACUUGAGUGAAGGAGAGGAAAGUGGAAUUCCUAGUGUAGCGGUGAAAUGCGUAGAUAUUAGGAGGAAUACCGGUGGCGAAGGCGGCUCACUGGACCAUUACUGACGCUGAGGUGCGAAAGCGUGGGGAGCAAACAGG
rnacentral:rRNA from 1 species